AGGAGGUCUUUUUAGUAUCUGUUCUUUUCUUUUCCUGAGAGAGUUAAUACUCAUAAUAAUAGAGUUAAUCAUUGCAUUUAUAAGAUGGUGUUAUUUCGUGCUUUCAUAGUACAAGAAUUUCUUUUCACAAAUAUUCUAAGGAAAAUACCUCUCUAGCUUGUUCAACCUUUUGUUCCUCCAACGACCAUGUUGAUGGUCCCAUUGGAU
rnacentral:lncRNA from 1 species